AGUUUGGAGCUUAUUCUUGGGGACUAUUCUAAGCCUGAGGAACCAACAACCCAAGGUACUAGGCUCUUGGAGCCUUACAUUCUUCACAUUUAGAAGAGUCUCACUCUGGUAACCCAGGCUGAGUGCAG